rnacentral:rRNA from 1 species
UCGAUCAUACCAGCACUAAUGCACCGGAUUCCAUCAGAACUCCGAAGUUAAGCGUGCUUGGGCGACAACAGUUCUAGGAUGGGUGACCCCCUGGGAAGUCCUCGUGUUGCACCU